UUGUGGUAGUCGUAGGCCUAGUAGUUGUAGGCUUAGUUGUUGUAGUUGUUGUAGGCCUAGUUGUCGGUGGUGUGCUGUUAAUUGUCGUUUUUAGGGCCGUUGUGGCUAUUGUUGUUUUAAUUGUUGUUGUGCUUAAUUUUGUAGUCGGCUUUGCUGUUGUCGUGGUGCUUGAAGUAGACUAAAUAGAUUUUUGUGUGGUGGGCGUGGUUAAGUUUUCGUUGUUUGCUUUACUUUCCUUUUAAGAAGAGGUGGUAUAGAUGGGAGUUGUGUUCCGUCCAAUGAUUGUUGAGUGUGAAGCGCUAUAAUGGCUGCUGCCGAAAGCGUCCGUAUUUGGUGCGGGUUUCGAUAUUCGAAGCUCAAAUGUUGUUUUCUACGUAAUCCAUGGCAAUGUCCUAAACUCAGACGUCCUAAUUUUAGUUUGAGACAUUUUCUGUCUGACGCCGGUGAGUGUAGACCAGUUCUGUCUGUUGCCAUGAGCUGUCCUGUCCCAGACAGCACAAAACUGCCGUGGACUUUCAGUUGCCUUCCCGUCGGAUAGAUAAGUGGGAGAUUAUUUUAGGAUAUCCAUGGGAAGGUGAAACGGGAGCUUGAAAGGGAAUAAUUCUUCCCCAUGUCCUCCAAAAAACUUCCAGCUUUAUAUAAAAAUAAAGGAUGUUGUUCGGUGGUCUUUGGAGCCUUACAGGAUGACACAUAAUAAUGCGUUAUUGUUUGUGGUUGUAAUAAUGAGUAAUUUUUCCUCAAGACUAAAAUAUAGAAAUGGCAACGAAGUUUUUUUUUUCAACAGUCAACGUCUUUUAAGCCAAGCGUCUUGUUUGUCAGUAAUUUGAAGUCGCCAUUUCUGACUCAGUAAGAUCUGUGUUUUUUUCUCUAGAAAAUCCAUUUGCUCUGGUAGCUUUACUAGGAGGUCUUGUUUGCAAUUUGUUUUCUGAAGCUGCCAGCAGGUAUAGCCCAUAGAGUACACUGUGCUCAUCACUUCUUUGCAGUUGUGGAAGUUCAGGUACAGGUAUUUCAUCCACUGUUCUUCUUUGGUCUUCGAACAACAUUGUCCACUGGGUUUAUCACUUCUUCGCAGUUGUGGAACUUCAGCUACAGGUAUAGUAGUCCCUGUUUUUGGACUUCGAAUAACAUUGUCCACAGGGCUCAUCACUUCUUCGCAGUUGUGGAACUUCAGCUACAGGUAUAGUAGUCCCUGUUCUUUUGACUUCGAACAACAUUGUCCACAGGGCUCAUCACUUCUUCACAGUUGUGGAACUUCAGCUACAGGUAUAGCAGCCACUGUUCUAGUUUCAACUUCGAACAUAAUUGCCCACCUUGAAUCUCAUUUGCUCAUGCUUUUUGUCAAAAAUAAAGAAAUGAAGCCACAUCAGGCGAGCAACACAGAAA